rnacentral:lncRNA from 1 species
CAUGAACAAAAAGUGAGAAAAUAGGAACGAAGCAGAAGAACAAUGAAACAAAGAGAUGAAGAGAAAAAUAAAACUGUAAACUUGAGGUUGGGGUGCAAAAGGAACUAUAGUAAAUGUGAAUUGGUAAAUAGUAAUUAGUGCUUACCUAAGUUCUAAAGGGUACAAUGGUCACUUGAAGAUGCGAGAAGAAGGAUUGAAGGUGCGGGAGAAGCAUCCAAACAUGUUUUAUCAUUCCUUUUGUUACGAAGUCCAUAAUGUAGUCCUCGUUGGGACAUCACGCAUUACAUGUCUUUUAAGGGGUUUUGAUUACUACACCCCCAUUGUUAUCAAUUGCACUCCUAUACUAAUAGAAAAAAGGUUUAAUACGUUCGGAGGUCCCUAUAUUUGGAGGUUUGUUUCAAUUGGGUCCUCCAAUUUUGAAAGUGAUCAAUUAGGUCCCUAAUUUUGUCAAUUUGAAUCAAUAAAAGUCUUUCCGUUAAAUGCCAUUAACGCCGUGAAGUUUUUGAACAUGUGGCACGCUGACGCUUCCAGGUGGCACCGUUUCAAGUGCAUAGGUGAAUUAUAAAAGGGUGAAUUCCCUUUUAUUUGAAGGUGAAAUCCCUAAAUUAAAAGGGAUUUCACCCUUUUAUAAUCCACCUAUGCACUUGAAACGAUGCCAUUUGGAAGCGUCAGCGUGCCA